rnacentral:RNase_P_RNA from 2 species
UAGGUGUAGCAAGUGGUUGCUCUAAACAGAGAGGAAAGUCCGAGCUGCAUUGGGAUAGGAUUCCAUUUAAAGAAUGGCUAGAGUAAUCUAAGGGAAAGCGCAACAGAAAACAAACCGCCCACCCAAAGGGGUAUGGCAAGGGUGAAAAGGCGAGGUAAAAGCUCACCAGAAGCAACGCAAGUUGCUUCGUAUUGCAAGCCCAAUCCGCAGCAAGAAAGGUAUGGUUAAUAUCCCAAAUUUUGAACCUUUCGCUAGAAUUUUGUUGCAAGACAAAAUCCAGAUAAAUAGCCACAUAAACAGAACUCGGCUUAUCGCUACACCUAAUUU